UUAUAUUAUAUACUUCCUCAACAACCGUAGAAAGUUAAGAUACCUUAGGUUAUUUGCCACUUUCAAUAAGAAUUGAAAUUUACUCAUUUCUCAACAAGCAUCAAAUAUAUAGCCAAUAAGUUCUAACUAUCUAACUAGUAUACAUAUUCCUAAAACUAAUGAAGGGAAAUAAAACAUGACAAACAUAUGAGUCUUCCUAAUCUGAGUGGCAAACCAUGAGCUCUUAGCCAAGACCUGUUCCGGCGUCCUUGCGAGGUGCAUCGGCCUUAAUCCGGGGAGGCCUGACAACUCGAUCAAUGAGCCCAUAUUCAAGAGCCUCCUGUGCAUUGAAGCGCUUCAUUCUGCUCAGGUUUUGGUGAGUAAUUUGGUCGAGCAAAUAAACAGUCAUGAGAUACAAUGACAGAAGUUAUACAAAUUGUUGGUGCAGUGGAAGCGAUCGUUGUGCAGCGUUGGUCACAAGUAAUCAAAUAAAGUGCAUAGGAUAAAUAGAAGAGAAGAAACAAAGAAUUUUGUA